rnacentral:misc_RNA from 1 species
GGAAACACCUGUCAGCUUGGAUGCGGAGGACAUAAGAAAUGAAAAGGUGAAAGUUCUACGUAGUAUGAAGCCCUUGCUACUGGAAAAUGUUGUGACAGGACAGUACAAAGCCAAUAGAAAGGGUGACAUUUCACACCCUGGAUACACGGAUGAUAAAACUGUACCCAAAGACAGUCUGACUCCAACAUUUGCUGCAGCUGCCCUUUUUAUAGACAAUGCAAGGUGGGAUGGCGUGCCUUUCCUUAUGAAAGCUGGGAAAGCAUUGCAUAC